UUUAUUUAGUUGAUUCUGGGUCUGAAAAGCUCAUAGAUUGAGUGUUGUCAUCAGCUUCAUCUCUUGUAACUUACGAGAUAGGAGUUAAAUAACAGCACUACAUUU